rnacentral:lncRNA from 1 species
CCAUAGAGAGACCCACAGUGAUCCGUAAGGACCCGCAGCGACCCAUAUGGACCCAUAGGGACCCAUAGGGACACAUAGAGACCCAUAGAGAGACCCAUAGGGACCCAUAGAGACCCAUAGCGACCCAUAGGGACCCAUAGAGACCCCUAGAGAGACCCAGAGCGACAUAUAGAGACCCAUAGGGACCCAUAGAGACUCCAUAGUGACCCAUAGGGACCCACAGCGACCCAUAGCGACUCAUAGCGGCCCAUAGAGAGCCAUAGGGACACAUAGAGAGACCCAUAGAGACCCGUAAGGACCCACAGCGACCAAUAGGGACCCAUAGAGACCCA